CUCUGACCUUUUCUAACUCACACGUUUUUCUGCUUUGGGGGAUUGAACUACUCCUGGCUCCACCUCUCUGGUAUUUAAAUAAAGUCUGCAUAAAAUACUAAACUCACUUAUCUUCCAGGCUUUGCUCAGUCUCCAUAGCAACCUCCCUAGAAACAGACUUCUUUAAAAAGGAAUCUCAAAAAAGUUGGGAUCAUAUAGGACUGUGUUCUUUACAAUUGUACUGAAAAUUGGAAAAAAUAAAACCAGCUGUCUCAUCACAACCUCCGCUGACUUCGCUCUCGUUCCAUAACGCUCUGGCCUGGUCAUCCGCUUCCGCUCUGCCCGGACCGUCCAGUCUCCACGUUGCAGUUGGAACCAUCUCCAAACGCAACUUUCUUAUGAGAAGAAAAUUUAGUGAUUUGCACUAGCCUUUGGGAAAAAUGCAGCUUACGUGCACGGAGACAAGACCAGCAUGAAUCCACUUGAUGCUUAGUUGCAGUUUGAAGAGAAAGAAGAAAAAGAAACCUAGAAAGGAUAAAUGGCUCUGCAGCAUGUCGAUGCAUUUACAGCACUCCUUAAAGAGUUCUCAUGUUCCAGGCUCAGAAUUUUGCUGUUGUUCAGAACUGGCCUAUGGCAAAUUAUCCAUCUAUAAUUAUUAGAUUAUUUGUGGCAGAUUUUGGAAGCUGCUACAGUCAAAUGGAGAGUAUCACUGAAUUGCCCCAGGGACCCAUCAGUCAUUCUUCUCUUCUCGUCUUAUGCAGUGGCAGCAGGGAAAAUAUUCUAUGUAUCUGUCUCCUGAGACAACUGAUUGGUUCCCAGAAACAUCAUCGCCUCACGGAAGGACAAGUUAACUGGAUAUCCUAAAAGAACAUUGUAUACAAUGCUUAUUUUAUUUUAUUUUUCCAAGCUCUAUUUUUAAAGUAAAGUUGUAACUCAAAAGCUUGCAUAUUGGUGACCACAUGGUCUAGAAACAACUUGUCCAAUAAGCAUAAGCAUGUUUAAGGGGAUUGGUAUUGAUCACAAAGCCUCCCUCUUUGCUCUAAUUUCAUGUGGAUGCACUGGCAUCAAAGACAUAUGGGAAGAAAAAUUGAGUAAUGAGGCUGCCAUAGAAUAUAACUCCUUAUAGCCUUUCAAAGGAGUGAAAUCUUUAGC
rnacentral:lncRNA from 1 species